AAGGUGGUGUGUCACACCAACACUUUUUCCGUCAACUUUUUCCAUCGUUUUUCUGAAAAUCGUGGAUAUCUUGGCUGCGGCCUGUUGCACACAAAUGGUGUUUCAUCUGAAACUUUCCGUUGGCACAGCCCAAGGAGUGCAAACAAACAUGGAGUCCACACUGCAGCAAAGAUACGCUACUCUGAAACUAAUACUGUUUACUGUGAGACACAGUAUUGGAGGGCACAGGUGACAGUGUUGUGAGCCGCUCUUUUCAGGCCUUUCUUCAUACAAGAUUCAUCCUUGUGGUCCCAGAGGCACUUAUGGCUCCUUAUGCUUUCCACAAGGAUCUCCUCUGAACGGCGUGUCCAACUUGGAUGUGGUUUUCCUUCCAUGACGAAGCGUAGAGGUGGUAAUAACGUUCUGUGAGACAGGUUGAAGCCACACAGAAAGUCUUGGUCUUGGUCUUGGAAAUAUAAACAAAGGCGGAAAUUUGCAGGAGGAAACAAUCCUGAUCGUCUGACAAAUUCAUGCGAUAAGUUCAUGUGGAACGAUGAAAAAUUGACGGAAAAAGUGCUAGUAUGACACCACCUUAAAUCCACCCCUGGAUUUGUGAGUUAAUUUUUUUUUCUUUUUUUUUCUUACUUGAGGGGCAUUGGCUUUGGGAGGGGAAAAAAAAAAAAAGACCCACUUAGGUGCCAUUCCCUUAAGACCAAAAGGAUCAUCCAAAAUUGGAGGCAAACCUGUGUGGGCUCCCAGACAGGUGAGUGCCGUGUGCUGAGAGAGGCAUGGCAGAAAGUGGUGCUGAGGUCCCCAGAUAACUUAGUGAACUCCUACACUGAGGGACUGGAGAAGGUCUUGAAUGACUCCUCCAGAAUCAAGGAACUGCCAGUCCAGUACAUCACAGGAGGCAUUGCUAUUGGGCUGCAAAAAAAAUUCACCUUUAGGAAGUUAUUUGACCGCAGCCUUCAGAAGAUGCAGGAGUCAAGCCUGAUGAACAAGCUGAGGUCCAAUUGGCUAUCAGCAGGAACUUCAAUGUGUGGCAGGAAGACUAAAUUCACAGCCAGCCUCUCUGAUGUGGCUGCAAUCUUCAUCCUCUUGAUG